UGAACUGGAAAAAGUCCCCAAUCCAACAUCC
rnacentral:piRNA from 1 species